rnacentral:rRNA from 1 species
UGAGGAAUAUUGCAAAAUGGGCGAAAGCCCGAUGCAGCAACGCCGCGUGGGCGAUGAAGGCCUUCGGGUCGUAAAGCCCUUUUUGAGGGGAUGAGGAAGGACAGUACCCUCAGAAUAAGCCUCGGCUAACUACGUGCCAGCAGCCGCGGUAAAACGUAGGAGGCGAGCGUUAUCCGGAUUUACUGGGCGUAAAGCGCGUGCAGGCGGAUUGGAGAGUUGGAUGUGAAAGCUCCCGGCUUAACUGGGAGAGGUCGUUCAAUACUUCCAGUCUUGAGUGCAGUAGAGGGAAGUGGAAUUCCGGGUGUAGUGGUGAAAUGCGUAGAUAUCCGGAGGAACACCAGUGGCGAAAGCGGCUUCCUGGACUGUAACUGACGCUCAGACGCGAAAGCUAGGGUAGCAAACG